rnacentral:hammerhead_ribozyme from 1 species
AUUUAGCUGACGAGUCCCAAAUAGGACGUAAGGAGCGUCCUGUAU